UGCUGAGUUUGAUGGCGACCGGCGCACGGGUGAGUAACACGUAUCCAACCUGCCGAUGACUCGGGGAUAGCCUUUCGAAAGAAAGAUUAAUACCCGAUGGCAUAGUUCUUCCGCAUGGUAGAACUAUUAAAGAAUUUCGGUCAUCGAUGGGGAUGCGUUCCAUUAGGUUGUUGGCGGGGUAACGGCCCACCAAGCCUUCGAUGGAUAGGGGUUCUGAGAGGAAGGUCCCCCACAUUGGAACUGAGACACGGUCCAAACUCCUACGGGAGGCAGCAGUGAGGAAUAUUGGUCAAUGGACGAGAGUCUGAACCAGCCAAGUAGCGUGAAGGAUGACUGCCCUAUGGGUUGUAAACUUCUUUUAUACGGGAAUAAAGUGAGGCACGUGUGCCUUUUUGUAUGUACCGUAUGAAUAAGGAUCGG
rnacentral:rRNA from 1 species